CCUACGGGAGGCAGCAGUGAGGAAUAUUGGUCAAUGGACGAGAGUCUGAACCAGCCAAGUAGCGUGAAGGAUGACUGCCCUAUGGGUUGUAAACUUCUUUUAUAUGAGAAUAAAAUGUUCCACGUGUGGGAUUUUGUAUGUACCAUAUGAAUAAGGAUCGGCUAACUCCGUGCCAGCAGCCGCGGUAAUACGGAGGAUCCGAGCGUUAUCCGGAUUUAUUGGGUUUAAAGGGAGCGUAGGUGGAUUGUUAAGUCAGUUGUGAAAGUUUGCGGCUCAACCGUAAAAUUGCAGUUGAAACUGGCAGUCUUGAGUACAGUAGAGGUGGGCGGAAUUCGUGGUGUAGCGGUGAAAUGCUUAGAUAUCACGAAGAACUCCGAUUGCGAAGGCAGUUCACUGGACUGCAACUGACACUGAGGCUCGAAAGUGUGGGUAUCAAACAGGAUUAGAUACCCGUGUAGUC
rnacentral:rRNA from 1 species